ncrna:unclassified sequences SAM-I/IV variant riboswitch
AAAUAUCAUCAGGACGGGAGUAAUCCCACCAACCGAGCUUAAGCCACGGUGGUUUGUCAAGUGACAGAUGAGCAGCAAAGCUGAAACUAUCUGAAGCC